UUCUCAGUGAUGUUCUAAGAGGUGUGCUUU
rnacentral:piRNA from 2 species